GGGACGGCAGGUAGCCUAGUGGUUAGAGUGGAGGGGCUGCAGGUAGCCUAGUGGUUAGAGGGGGAGGGACGGCAGGUAGCCUAGUGGUUAGAGUGGAGGGACGGCAGGUAGCCUAGUGGUUAGAGUGGAGGGGCGGCAGGUAGCCUAGUGGUUAGAGUGGAGGGGACGGCAGGUAGCCUAGUGGUUAGAGUGGAGGGGCGGCAGGUAGCCUAGUGGUUAGAGUGGAGGGGCGGCAGGUAGCCUAGUGGUUAGAGGGGGGAGGCAGGUAGCCUAGUGGUUAGAGGGGGGAGGGGCAGGUAGUCUAGCGGUUAGAGUGGAGGGACGGCAGGUAGUCUAGCGGUUAGAGUGGAGGGACGGCAGGUAGCCUAGUGGUUAGAGUGGAGGGACGGCAGGUAGCCUAGUGGUUAGAGUGGAGGGGACGGCAGGUAGUCUAGUGGUUAGAGUGGAGGGGACGGCAGGUAGUCUAGUGGUUAGAGUGGAGGGGACGGCAGGUAGCCUAGUGGUUAGAGAGCGUUGGACUAGUAACGGAAAGGUUGCUAGAUCAAAUCGCCGAGCUGACAAGGUACAAAUCUGUCGUUCUGCCCCCUGAACGAGGCAGUUAACCCACUGUUCCCUAGUAGGCUGUCAUUGAAAAUAAAAAUUUGUUCUUAACUGACUUGCCUGGUUAAAUAAAGGUACAAAAAAAAUACAAAAUUGUCCCACCCCCAAGUCAUCUGAUAUGACUGUAAAGCUGAUCUUAUUGGCCAACACGACUGUCCAUCUUUCAUUUGACCCCGCCCCCCCAGUCUAAUGCUAUAUACCACAGGUCGUAGAGGUUUAAAAACUAAAUAUUCUUUGGUGCGUUAAUGUAAUCACUGGAGUUUUACGUUUUGAUGUUGUAAUUCAAGCUGUACGUUAUCGUGGAGAAUAUUGCCAAUAGGCUACAUGUGUUUUGGUAACAAUCUAAUGGUUCAUUUUUAGCUCAAACACAGACCACCGGGAAGCUUUUAACCUUGUAAGAUGUCUAGUGAAAACCAAGUGGACAGUGACCUCGUUGACUCUCUGGGCUGUGGUCGGUCACUGGGCCGACCGACCUAGUGACAUAUCAGCUAUGGAGUCUGGACAAUGACCUUGUUGACUCUCUGGGCUAGUGGUCGGUCACAGGGCCGACCGAUCUAGUGACAUAUCAGCUAUGGAGUCUGGACAAUGACCUUGUUGACUCUCUG
rnacentral:lncRNA from 1 species